rnacentral:rRNA from 1 species
GACGAACGCUGGCGGCGUGCCUAAUACAUGCAAGUAGAACGCUGAGGACUGGUGCUUGCACCGGUCCAAGGAGUUGCGAACGGGUGAGUAACGCGUAGGUAACCUACCUCAUAGCGGGGGAUAACUAUUGGAAACGAUAGCUAAUACCGCAUAAAAGUGUUUAACCCAUGUUAAACAUUUAAAAGGUGCAACUGCAUCACUAUGAGAUGGACCUGCGUUGUAUUAGCUAGUUGGUGAGGUAACGGCUCACCAAGGCGACGAUACAUAGCCGACCUGAGAGGGUGAUCGGCCACACUGGGACUGAGACACGGCCCAGACUCCUACGGGAGGCAGCAGUAGGGAAUCUUCGGCAAUGGACGGAAGUCUGACCGAGCAACGCCGCGUGAGUGAAGAAGGUUUUCGGAUCGUAAAGCUCUGUUGUUAGAGAAGAAUGAUGGUGGGAGUGGAAAAUCCACCAUGUGACGGUAACUAACCAGAAAGGGACGGCUAACUACGUGCCAGCAGCCGCGGUAAUACGUAGGUCCCGAGCGUUGUCCGGAUUUAUUGGGCGUAAAGCGAGCGCAGGCGGUUCUUUAAGUCUGAAGUUAAAGGCAGUGGCUCAACCAUUGUACGCUUUGGAAACUGGAGAACUUGAGUGCAGAAGGGGAGAGUGGAAUUCCAUGUGUAGCGGUGAAAUGCGUAGAUAUAUGGAGGAACACCGGUGGCGAAAGCGGCUCUCUGGUCUGUAACUGACGCUGAGGCUCGAAAGCGUGGGGAGCAAACAGG